AGUCGCAAGACCGCGAGGUUUAGCAAAUCUCUUAAAGCCGUUCUCAGUUCGGAUUGUAGGCUGCAACUCGCCUACAUGAAGUCGGAAUCGCUAGUAAUCGCGGAUCAGCAUGCCGCGGUGAAUACGUUCCCGGGCCUUGUACACACCGCCCGUCACACCAUGAGAGUUGGCAAUACCCAACGUACGUGAUCUAACCCGCAAGGGAGGAAGCGUCCUAAGGUAGGGUCAGCGAUUGGGGUGAAGUCGUAACAAGGUAUC
rnacentral:rRNA from 1 species